GCGUCAAUAGCUCAGCGGUAGAGCGUAGGAUUGCAGUUAAAUCGCAGUCAUCCCGAGGUCCCCGGUUCGAUCCCGGGUUGGCGCU
rfam:Macrophomina phaseolina MS6 contig00094, whole genome shotgun sequence.